rnacentral:rRNA from 1 species
GUAGGCGUAGCGAAAGCGAGUCUUAAUAGGGCGUUUAGUCGCUGGGUAUAGACCCGAAACCGGGCGAUCUAUCCAUGAGCAGGUUGAAGGUUAGGUAACACUGACUGGAGGACCGAACCCACUCCCGUUGAAAAGGUAGGGGAUGACUUGUGGAUCGGAGUGAAAGGCUAAUCAAGCUCGGAGAUAGCUGGUUCUCCUCGAAAGCUAUUUAGGUAGCGCCUCAUGUAUCACUCUGGGGGGUAGAGCACUGUUUCGGCUAGGGGGUCAUCCCGACUUACCAAACCGAUGCAAACUCCGAAUACCCAGAAGUGCCGAGCAUGGGAGACACACGGCGGGUGCUAACGUCCGUCGUGAAAAGGGAAACAACCCAGACCGCCAGCUAAGGUCCCAAAGUUGUGGUUAAGUGGUAAACGAUGUGGGAAGGCUUAGACAGCUAGGAGGUUGGCUUAGAAGCAGCCAUCCUUUAAAGAAAGCGUAAUAGCUCACUAGUCGAGUCGGCCUGCGCGGAAGAUGUAACGGGGCUCAAACCACACACCGAAGCUGCGGGUGUCACGUAAGUGACGCGGUAGAGGAGCGUUCUGUAAGCCUGUGAAGGUGAGUUGAGAAGCUUGCUGGAGGUAUCAGAAGUGCGAAUGCUGACAUGAGUAACGACAAUGGGUGUGAAAAACACCCACGCCGAAAGACCAAGGGUUCCUGCGCAACGUUAAUCGACGCAGGGUUAGUCGGUUCCUAAGGCGAGGCUGAAAAGCGUAGUCGAUGGGAAACAGGUUAAUAUUCCUGUACUUCUGGUUACUGCGAUGGAGGGACGGAGAAGGCUAGGCCAGCUUGGCGUUGGUUGUCCAAGUUUAAGGUGGUAGGCUGAAAUCUUAGGUAAAUCCGGGGUUUCAAGGCCGAGAGCUGAUGACGAGUCGUCUUUUAGAUGACGAAGUGGUUGAUGCCAUGCUUCCAAGAAAAGCUUCUAAGCUUCAGGUAACCAGGAACCGUACCCCAAACCGACACAGGUGGUCGGGUAGAGAAUACCAAGGCGCUUGAGAGAACUCGGGUGAAGGAACUAGGCAAAAUGGCACCGUAACUUCGGGAGAAGGUGCGCCGGCUAGGGUGAAGGAUUUACUCCGUAAGCUCUGGCUGGUCGAAGAUACCAGGCCGCUGCGACUGUUUAUUAAAAACACAGCACUCUGCAAACACGAAAGUGGACGUAUAGGGUGUGACGCCUGCCCGGUGCCGGAAGGUUAAUUGAUGGGGUUAGCGCAAGCGAAGCUCUUGAUCGAAGCCCCGGUAAACGGCGGCCGUAACUAUAACGGUCCUAAGGUAGCGAAAUUCCUUGUCGGGUAAGUUCCGACCUGCACGAAUGGCG